UACGGAGGGUGCAAGCGUUAAUCGGAAUUACUGGGCGUAAAGCGCACGCAGGCGGUGUGUCAAGUCGGAUGUGAAAUGACCGGGCUCAACCUGGGAACUGCAUCCGAAACUGGCAGGCUAGGGUCUCGUAGAGGGGGGUAGAAUUCCAGGUGUAGCGGUGAAAUGCGUAGAGAUCUGGAGGAAUACCGGUGCCGAAGGCGGCCCCCUGGACAAAGCCUGACGCUCAGGUGCGAAGCGUGGGGAGCAAACAGG
rnacentral:misc_RNA from 1 species